rnacentral:lncRNA from 1 species
GAUUGAACCCCCUACUAUAGAUCUUGAAUUUCAAAAAUUCAAGCUAUUCUAACUCCUUAACAUAGUUAUAAUACUUCAAUAAGUAGUUUGUAUGUAUUUGAUAUACUGGAAAAGAUAUUUUGAAAAUUUUACUUAGCCAUGGUAUUUUGACCCCCCUGCGGUAUAUUGAACCCCCUACUAUAGACCUUGAAUUUCAAAAAUUCAAGCUAUUCUAACUCCUUAACAUAGUUAUAAUACUCCAAAAAGUAG